GAUCAUGGCUCAGGAUGAACGCUAGCUACAGGCUUAACACAUGCAAGUCGAGGGGCAGCGGGAUUGAAGCUUGCUUCAAUUGCCGGCGACCGGCGCACGGGUGAGUAACGCGUAUCCAACCUUCCGUACACUCAGGGAUAGCCUUUCGAAAGAAAGAUUAAUACCUGAUGGUAUGAUGAGAUUGCAUGGUAUCAUCAUUAAAGAUUUAAUCGGUGUACGAUGGGGAUGCG
rnacentral:rRNA from 1 species